rnacentral:rRNA from 1 species
CCUACGGGAGGCUGCAGUGGGGAAUAUUGGGCAAUGGAGGCAACUCUGACCCAGCAAUGCCGCGUGAAUGAAGAAGGUCUUCGGAUUGUAAAGUUCUUUAAUCAGGGACGAAGGAGAUGACGGUACCUGAGGACUAAGCCACUGCAAACUUUGUGACAGCAGCCGCGGUAAUACAUAGGUGGCAAGCGUUGUCCUGAAUGACUGGGCGUAAAGGUAGCGUAGGCGGUCUGUUAAGUUGGAAGUGAAAUCCAGGGGCUCAACCCCGGAAAUGCUUUCAAGACUGACGGACUUGAGUGUAAGAGGGGUGAGCGGAAUUCCUAGUGUAGCGGUGGAAUGCGUAGAUAUUAGGAGGAACACCAGUGGCGAAAGCGGCUCUCUGGUCUGUAACUGACGCUGAGGUUCGAAAGCGUGGGUAGCAAACAGGAUUAGAUACCCGGGUAGUC